CCGCCUGAAGGAGGCCUCACAAUAAACAGCGUCCAUGAAGCGGCGGGUUACCACGGAAACCUCCCCUCAAAUUCUGAGAGCUGAAAUAACAAGGCAAGCCACGAUUGUCUGGACGCCUGGAGUGACCGAAACGGUCCUGUACAAAAGCUCAUGCAUGUCUGCAGCUCAUGAAGGAGGAGGUCAGUCAGAUGAGCA